UUACUUUAAAAGAGCCGUCAUGUAUGAUUCAAAUUCUAAAAGAAAGACAGACAUAGAUAAAGCUCUAACUGAAAUGGUUGCCAAAGAUGUGCAGCCCUACAAUAUUGUCGAAAACGAAGGGUUCGUGCAAUACAAUCAUGUAUUGGAUCCUCGGUAUAAAUUACCCAGCAAGACGCACUUAAGAGAUGUGCUGAUGCAUAAUUAUUUUACCGAAACUUCUGCCAAGUUAUCAGCAAUCCUUGUAAAUGUUUCGAAUAUCGCAGUUACGUGUGAUUUGUGGACAUCAAGUGCCAAUGCUAGUUUUUUGACUGUGACGGGUCAUUUCGUAUAUAACUACGAAUUAAAAACAGCAUCCUUAGCAACAAAAAAACUUCUAAGCACAACUAAUCAUUGUUCACAAAACAUUGCUGAUACAUUGCGGGACAUUUUUAUUGAAUGGAACAUACUGGAAAAAACUGUAUGUAUUGUUACCGACAAUGCCAGCUCCAUGCUUAAAGCAUGUGAUCUAUUGCAUAUUCGCAAUCUGCCAUGCUUUGCGCAUACUAUAAAUCUCGUGGUGCAAGAUGCUCUAAAAGUUGAUGACCCAGUGCUUCAAGCUUUAUUUACUAAAUGUAAAUCAAUCGUUCGAUUUUUCAAGCAAAGCACUAUAUCAAAUGAAAAGCUCAAAUUAGCUCAAGAAGGCUCAGAAUAUACUUUGUUGCAAGAAACGCCCACUAGGUGGAAUAGUUUUUAUUUUAUGAUUGAGCGUAUUAUAAAAAUGAACGAUGCCAUUGCCAAAGUUUUACUAUCAACAACGAAUGCACCGCAGCCAUUUACUGCUGAGGAAAUACUUAUGCUGAAAGAUAUUGAAAAAGUAUUGGCUUUCUUUCAGCAAGCAAGCGAGAAAAUUUCUGGCGGAAAAUACGUAACGAUAUCGCUGAUUAUUCCCAUGACAUAUGGACUUUUUCGGAAAAUCGAAAGUGUUGUACCUUUACUACAAACUCUUCAAGGAAAAACUUUAAACAAAAUAUUGAUGGAAUCAAUCAAGUAACGUCUUUCCGUAUAUGAGCAGAGAACAGUCUGCAGGAUGGCUACGCUUUUGGAUCCACGGUUCAAAAAAAGUGGAUUUCAACAUAGCUCAAACGCUGAACAAGCAGCAACAUGUUUUGAAAAUGAGCUGGCCAAUUUUCCAGUUAAAGAGACCGCAAGUAAUCAACCCGUAGCACCGGAUUCAAGUUUACAGGAUACUUUGUUAGAUUUUUUGGGUGAGCGUUCCAUGAAUAAUUCUGUAAACUCAAGAGUAGAUGCAAUUUUAACUAAGAGGCAGUAUCUGGAAAGGGCAAUUGUCGGACAAGAUAUCGACCCUCUAUUAUGGAUGAAGGUGAAUCAAACUGAUUUCCCUGCCAUUGGGAGCCUUUUCGCCAAAUAUCUUUGCAUUCCGGCUACGUCCGUGGAGUCUGAAAGAACAUUCAGCAAGGCGGGCCAAAUAAUAUCGGAGAGGCGAACCCGGCUCAAAGAAAAAAAUGUUAACAUUCUUUUGUUUUUAAAUCGCAAC